ensembl:lncRNA
AGCACAAUGCUCAACGCAUAUUUGGUUAGAAUAUGCCAUGAACGCUGAAUGACUGGCACAGGAAAUCCCUUGUGGUGAAGCUUAAGCCAGUCCCUUUUAGUUUUAUUUCUGGAGCGAUGGGAAACACGGGUGAGGGGGCGGGGAUGGGUGGUGGUGGGGGAGGAAACUAAAGGAGAUUCUGGGAGAGGCUGGGGGUGCUUCUACCCUUGUUUCCAGGACUCCUGGGCAGAGGUUCUUUAGCUGGAUCUGCGACUGGUCCCCAAAUAGCCACAGGCAGGGCUCCACCCCUCCCCGACUUUCCUCCAGCCAAUCGGAACCUCCUCCCUACCCAGGACCCUGAAAAGCGUGUUUACUUCUAAAUCCAUAUCCUGUUUGCCCAGCCUCCAACCAAGCUCAUUUAAACCCUCACUCCACCUCGUCAUCCAGCCAGGGCCCACUCCACUUCCAUUGCCCACCUUCACUUUCCUCCUGGAUUCCGGGCUAAGCCACCUUCUUCCCGUUUUCCCAUCCCUUCCCAAGGCCCCGCCCCGCCCCACUUCCUGGCUCUGCUGAGACAAGCUCGUUUCCUCUCCCUGGGUUUGGCUUGCAGUUUUCUCCUCAGGUCUUUCCCCUUGAGGUAGAAAAAGCCCACGGGUGGCUUCCCUGGUAUCUCCAUACUUCGCCUGUAGGUCCACUUUCACUCAUCUUCAGUGAAAGCAGGAAGGGCCCAAGGACCACCCUGCAUAACAAAGUUGAAGGAAACAGGAAUGCUCAAAAGCACUGCCCAUCUCCGACCCUGCCGUUCACAGCUUCCUCACCUGGGAUUGUUGCUCAGCGUCCAUGGAUGGACUUCAGAGGCGUGUGUGACAUUUUCCUGAGGUUGGCUGGACAGAAGACACAAUUCUUGAGGUUCAAGGAACUGCUAAAGGAGAACUGUGGCCCCCACGAGUCUGUAUCUUCAAGAAGUCUGUGGAUAGAAAGAAGCAGCAGAAGCUGGAGAUCCUUCUUACCGGUGGCAAGGUCUGGGGCUUUUGGAAGUGCCUACGAGCAGUGCCAUCCUAAUCUGAGUGCAGACAGAUGGGCCUCUCCUCUGAAACCAGAGACUGAGUUUGGCUUCGGAGUAUUAAGGUUAGCAGGCCAGAGGCAGUUUUCUUGAAGACAUCUAUACCUAAAAUUCCAGCAGUUGCCACCAGGUGCCUCAGUGCUGAUUUCGCUUUGGGUCAUCUAAAGAGAGCAGGAGAGCCAGAAAUUGCAAAUAGUGCCAUCUUCUUCACUCGUGUCUACGCUGGAUCAGUUAUCACCUUCCCAGUCUACAGGGAGAGCCAUAACUCCUGCUCCAUAACUCUAGUGUGAGAGAGGAGCCCAUUGCAGAUUCUGUGACGCGGGGAAUGGAGCCGUCAGAGGGCUGGUCUUCUUCAGGCAGUCUGUGCUUUCCUACCAGGGACAACUUCUGGGAGUAAAAUUCACAAAGGAAGAUAAGAUGAUUUCUAUUCUGGGCAGCCUUCUCCUGAGACGAGACAGACUGCGAUCUCCAGAGGUAGACGGAGUGACAAAAGAAUAGAAGACAGACCUACGGCACAUGAGACGGUGGCAGAUCCAGAACUGGAGCCCAUGUCUGUUGACUCAUCCUGCAAGACUUUUAAUACUACCCAUGCUUCUGCCUGUCACAUUCAGACUCCUGCUUUACCUGCAAGACUCCCCUAUCAACUUCCUUCCACUCAGUUCUUUUUCCUCCCUCCCUAUUGUCUACUUUAGCCAAACCAAGCUGCUUCCUGGUCUCCUGACUGUGCUACACGUUUUCUGGCCUCUGAAAUGUCCCUUAAGCACUUUCCCUGCCAGGCUGGGAUGACUUCAUUUUGCUCUCCCUUCUUCUCCUUUCUUCCCCUCCGACUCAGCUUCAUAUUCCCUCUUCCAGGAAGCCUUCCUUAAGUAACCUCUUCUGUCUUUGAAUGCUUCUUGGCCCUGCAUCUUUUCAGCCCAGUUGUUGGUUUGUAUUUGCUGCUUUGUUGGUUAAUAAGCAUUCUGAAGUCACUUUAUAGAUAUUUAGAUUCUGUCAAUUUAGUUAGAUUAGGAGCUUCUUAAUGGAAAGGCUUGGAACACACAGGGGGAUAUUAUAUUGUUGCUUGAAUACAGCUGGGAUUGGACAGUCUGAGAAAGUUGAAAUUACUUCUGUAUUUGGGGAGAGGAAAGAAGAAAAGAAGACUGACUUAGCGGUGGAUGGGUCUGGUGAUCCUUCUUAGAGUCAGAGGGGUAUUUGAAGUGACUUCUUAAGGUUAUUUCCAGUCUUGGGGUUCUGUAACCUUGUGAACCAGCUUGGAUAUGCCACAGCCUUAACCUGGUGCUGUUACCAGUUUUGUGGCCUAUGUUAACUAAUAAGACAUCCUGCAACUAGUAGGUGGCAGACUGUUGUGUUCAUUGCAUGUUAUGAAGAAAAAAAUAGCUUGGUGAAAGGCCCUUCCUAUGUGGAAUGCAUUGUUAGGUGGAGCACCUGGCUGCCCCGUGGAUGACCUCAGUUGCCGCCUGGAGGUCUCUACCUAAGGGAAGGGAGGCCCUGAGAGCCAUUUUGACCCAAGUUCAAUUUUCUAGAACAAACAAGCUGAUCUCUUGCUCCAAGGCCCAGUCAAAGAGGCUCCAGAGUGUUUAUUGACUCUUGCAUGUCCCUGCCCUGGAGAACAAACAAACAGCUCAACCUGACUCAUUCCCUCCACCAGCUCGACUCGGUCCCAUUGCUGGGCUUUGCUGGGAAAAAUCCCUCAGACCCUAUGGCGAUAAGAGAGUCAAUGGCUAUGGGUCUCUGGUCAUAUAUUCCUACUCCUCUUUCCCAUAGAACAUUAAUCCUCCCUGGAGAUGCAGAAGACUAGCAGUAACUUUGGAUUCACUGGGCUUGGUCUCUCUCCAUUGCUAGAGGCAAAUUGGCUUGCUUCACUGAUUCAUUCAUUCAAUAAAUAUUUAUUGAAUGCCUACUAUGUGUGAGGCUCCCCUCUCAUGAUUGGGGCUGCCAGUUUUUGCUAUGGAGAAUGCUGAUGCUUCCAUCUUUUAACUAAAUGAUUUGAAAUCCGCCUUUCCUAGCAUCUUGAUAUAAUAAUAAUAAUAAUAAUAAUAAUAAUAAUAAUAAU